CUACAUAUACACAUGUACACGGUGGUGCUUAUGAUAGUGAUGAUGAUAGACCACCGCUAUAUUCAACAGCAUGGCCGCACUCAAAUGACAAUCUGUCGCUAAGCAUUUUGCCUGGCAUGCUAACCAUUCUGCCAGCUCAUCACCUGACGGAGCACAGUAAUAUCAAGAGAAAAGAACAUGGGCUUCAACUGAACCAAGCUCAAAGUCCAGGCUUUUAAUACACACACGUUUUAUUCUUUUACUUGUUUCAGUCAUUUGACUGUGGCCAUGCUGGAGCACCGCCUUUACUCGAGCAAAUCAACCCCAGGACUUAUUCUUUUGUAAGCCUAGUACUUAUUCUAUCAGACCCUUUUGCCGAACCGCUAAGUUACGGGAACAUAAACACACCAGCAUCAGUUGUCACGCGAUGUUGAGGGGACAAACACAGACACACACAUACAUAGAUACGGCGGGCUUCUUACAGUUUCUGUCUACCAAAUCCAUUCACAACGCUUUGGUCGGCCCGAGGCUAUAGUAGAAGAGACUUGCCCAAGGUGCCAUGCAGUGGGACUGAACCCGAACCAUGUGGUUGGCAUUUGACUGCGGCCAUGCUAGAGCACCACCUUUAGUCAAGCAAAUCGACCCCAGGACUUAUUCUUUGACUAUGUGAAGUUACCGGUCAGAUGAAUCAAAAAUAACUAUAAUUAGAAAGAAGAUUCACACACACAGGCAUGCACACACAGGCAUGUGGACACACAUACACACUCGCAUGCAAACACACACACACACACGUAAAUACCGGUGUACUGGUGAAUUGUGGUAAUACUGGGUCAGGGCUGGUUUAGAAGCAUGGAAAAAUUGCAAAAGGAGUCAAUUUAUUGGGGAUGGUGGUGGUUGGAAGGGGAGAGUAUUUUCAUGCCAGUGGGAUCUCUUACAAAUAUGGGGUGGGGGUGGGGGGACUUCCAAAUUUCUUUCCUUAAAAAAAAAAAAAAAAAAGAUGUGCUAAAUUAGUCUUUUAAGAUAAAUGUUAUUUCUCUUUAAUAAUAAGCUUAUCUAAUAUAUAUUAUAUCUAAGAGAAGGUAUGGUUCUGUGGUUAAGAAGUUAGUUUCCCAACCAUGUAGUUUUGAGUUCAGUCCCACUGUGCAGUACUUCAAUGCAUCUUUAAACUGACACCAAAACUAUAUUCACAUACAGUAGAAAGAACCUCACAGUAUGAGUGAUUUGCUGUGCAAGCCAAGCCUCGUGCGAAUUUUUGUCUUGAAGUACAGACGAAAAUCCGCGGUACGAGCUCACAAAUCGCCCCAUCUUUAAAGUAAUUCAGUUAAUAAAACCAAUUUUCAUAUUUA